AAGACUAUACUUUCACGGAUCAUUUCUAUAGUGUCUAACUAGGAAAUGUGAUUUGAAAGUGUUGUGUCUCUCUAACCACGAUGACGAGUUUUAACGUGCUCUUCUGAACAUGAAUCAGGUUUUGUCUAACAAUUUGUUUGUAGGCUUUAACCUUUGAUGAAUGUUCUCUGCUUCAAUGGGUGGAAGAGUGCAUGAUCAGAGUGAU